GAUGAAGAACGUAGCGAAAUGCGAUAAGUAAUGCGAAUUGCAGAAUUCAGUGAGUCAUCGAAUCUUUGAACGCACAUUGCGCCCUGUGGUAUUCCGCAGGGCAUGCCUGUUCGAGCGUCAUUUCAACCCUCAAGCUCUGCUUGGUGUUGGGCCCUGCCCGCUGCGGCCGGCCCUAAAGACAGUGGCGGUGCCGCCUGGCCCUGAGCGUAGUACAUCUCUCGCUCCAGUGCCCGGUGGUAGCCUGCCAGAACCCCAACUCUCGUGGUUGACCUCGGAUCAGGUAGGGAUACCCGCUGAACUUAAGCAUAUCAAUAGCGGAGGA
rnacentral:misc_RNA from 1 species